GAUGAACGCUGGCGGCGUGCCUAAUACAUGCAAGUCGAGCGAACAGACGAGGAGCUUGCUCCUCUGACGUUAGCGGCGGACGGGGGAGUAACACGUGGAUAACCUACCUAUAAGACUGGGAUAACUUCGGGAAACCGGAGCUAAUACCGGAUAAUAUAUUGAACCGCAUGGUGCAAUAGUGAAAGACGGUUUUGCUUUCACUUAUAGAUGGAUCCGCGCCGCAUUAGCUAGUUGGGAAGGUAACGGCUUACCAAGGCAACGAUGCGUAGCCGACCUGAGAGGGUGAUCGGCCACACUGGAACUGAGACACGGUCCAGACUCCUACGGGAGGCAGCAGUAGGGAAUCUUCCGCAAUGGGCGAAAGCUUGACGGAGCAACGCCGCGUGAGUGAUGAAGGUCUUCGGAUCGUAAAACUCUGUUAUUAGGGAAGAACAAAUGUGUAAGUAACUAUGCACGUCUUGACGGUACCUAAUCAGAAAGCCACGGCUAACUACGUG
rnacentral:rRNA from 1 species